UGAACAAAACUGGUAAAUGAA
rnacentral:piRNA from 1 species